rnacentral:rRNA from 1 species
GACGAACGCUGGCGGCGCGCCUAACACAUGCAAGUCGAACGAGCGAGAGAGAGCUUGCUUUCUCGAGCGAGUGGCGAACGGGUGAGUAACGCGUGAGGAACCUGCCUCAAAGAGGGGGACAACAGUUGGAAACGACUGCUAAUACCGCAUAAGCCCACGGCUCGGCAUCGAGCAGGGGGAAAAGGAGCAAUCCGCUUUGAGAUGGCCUCGCGUCCGAUUAGCUAGUUGGUGGGGUAACGGCCCACCAAGGCGACGAUCGGUAGCCGGACUGAGAGGUUGAACGGCCACAUUGGGACUGAGACACGGCCCAGACUCCUACGGGAGGCAGCAGUGGGGAAUAUUGCACAAUGGGGGAAACCCUGAUGCAGCGACACCGCGUGGAGGAAGAAGGUCUUCAGAUUGUAAACUCCUGUUGUUGGGGAAGAUAAUGACGGUACCCAACAAGGAAGUGACGGCUAACUACGUG